GCUGGGCAUGGUGGCUCAUGCCUGUAAUCCCAGCACUUUGGGAGGCUGAGGUGGGCGGAUCACCUGAGGUCAGGAGUUCAAGACAAGCCUGGCCAACAUGGUGAAACCCCAUCUCUA
rnacentral:SRP_RNA from 1 species